rnacentral:tRNA from 1 species
GGGUCUGUAGCUCAGGUGGUUAGAGCACACGCCUGAUAAGCGUGAGGUCGGAAGUUCGAGUCUUCCCAGACCCA